UCAGAAUGAAGUUUUCGGAUGGAUUUCUGGUUGACUGAGUGGCGGACGGGUGAGUAACGCGUGGAUAACCUGCCUCACACUGGGGGAUAACAGUUAGAAAUGGCUGCUAAUACCGCAUAAGCGCACAGUACCGCAUGGUACGGUGUGAAAAACUCCGGUGGUGUGAGAUGGACCCGCGUCUGAUUAGCCAGUUGGCGGGGUAACGGCCCACCUAGUCUUCGAUGGAUAGGGGUUCUGAGAGGAAGGUCCCCACAUUGGAACUGAGACACGGUCCAAACUCC
rnacentral:rRNA from 1 species